AUUGAACGCUGGCGGCAUGCCUUACACAUGCAAGUCGAACGGUAACAGGUUAAGCUGACGAGUGGCGAACGGGUGAGUAAUAUAUCGGAACGUGCCCAGUCGUGGGGGAUAACGUAGCGAAAGCUACGCUAAUACCGCAUACGAUCUACGGAUGAAAGCGGGGGAUCGCAAGACCUCGCGCGAUUGGAGCGGCCGAUAUCAGAUUAGCUAGUUGGUGGGGUAAAAGCUCACCAAGGCGACGAUCUGUAGCUGGUCUGAGAGGACGACCAGCCACACUGGAACUGAGACACGGUCCAGACUCCUACGGGAGGCAGCAGUGGGGAAUUUUGGACAAUGGGCGCAAGCCUGAUCCAGCAAUGCCGCGUGCAGGAUGAAGGCCUUCGGGUUGUAAACUGCUUUUGUACAGAACGAAAAGGUUUCUACUAAUACUAGGAGCUCAUGACGGUACUGUAAGAAUAAGCACCGGCUAACUACGUGCCAGCCGCCGCAGUAA
rnacentral:rRNA from 1 species